UAACGAAUAUUGGGCAAUGGGCGAAAGCCUGACCCAGCGACGCCGUGUGGGCGAUGAAGGCCUUCGGGUUGUAAAGCCCUGUGAGGUGGAAAGAAGGGCCUAGAGGUUAAUACCCUUUAGGCUUUGACGGUACCACCAGAGGAAGCACCGGCUAACUCCGUGCCAGCAGCCGCGGUAAUACGGAGGGUGCAAGCGUUGUUCGGAAUUACUGGGCGUAAAGGGCGCGUAGGUGGUUGUGUAAGUCAGAUGUGAAAUCCUUAGGCUUAACCUGAGAACUACAUCUGAUACUGCAUGACUCGAGUACAGCAGAGGGAAACGGAAUUCCUGGUGUAGAGGUGAAAUUCGUAGAUAUCAGGAGGAACACCGGUGGCGAAGGCGGUUUCCUGGGCUGAUACUGACACUGAGGCGCGAAAGCGUGGGGAGCAAACA
rnacentral:rRNA from 1 species